rnacentral:lncRNA from 1 species
GUUGGGACAAGGACUAGGAGCAGUUGUAAGGACUGUGAUGAAAGAAGAGGCAACCUGUACCCAAGGACAGAGUCUUCAGGAUAGAUUCUAUGAUUAUGAAUUUUGUAAUUCAUGCAGAAACUGGUACCCAGGAGCCCUCUUUCUCUCCAGACUAAAGAAAGGACAUUGUUUUUCUGACAUAAACAAAUCUCCAGGGGAAGAGGAAAAUAUCCUUCUAUGUUUAUAAUGCUUUGGAUUGUAAAUAAAUAGCACCAAUGGAGAUAGGUUUGUAAGCCACUCUGGAGAUCUCCAACCUCCAAGGCAUGUUUACCAUUCAAACAUCCUUUAAACCUAAUUUCUGACAAGUUUGCUUAGAAAGCCCUUAGUGUGCAGAAAUAUGAAAAUAUUAAUUGUUUUUCUGUAACUGGUAAAUGAGUCAUAUUUUAUUUUCCCUUUUCGAAGUACUUGUGCC